UAAUUCUGCUUUGUGAUGGAAUCUAACAUUGUCUGAUCUCUUAUACACUGCCAGGAUGUAUUUGGGAGAACUGUUUAUGGAGUAACUCAAAAGAAGUAAAGACUGAAAAUAGCCCAGAAGUGCCAAGUUAGAACCAGGGAAACAUCUACUACAAAAGCCCACUGGAGAAGACGCCAGGAAGUAGGCAGAGCAAUCCAAUUGAGUAUCUUCCUAUGCCACUACACGUACCUCCAUAUCACCAAUUGAUAGAGAUAUGGCAUUUCUUCGUGUGGACUGCAUCCUGACUUAGUCAAUUCCCAAAGGACUAACAAAUACAAAAGAAAAAGUAAAUCAUCCCAAGUCUGGCACCAUCAUGAAUGAGACUUCCAAAACAUCCUGGGUAAAAUCUUACAGAAUUGUUGAACCAAAUGGAAGGAAUACUGUUAACACUUCUGCAUGUGCUGUCAAACUACUACCUAAAAAGAAGAUAAGUUCCUUCUCGUCUUCCAAGUCCCAGAAGGGUCUCUCCUGGCCAGCAAUAUAAGGAAACCGAAGAUCGGAGUCAGGACUCCAGCAUCUCUAACUGCAAACAGUGGUCCUGGGAGCACUACCAACCACAGCACUACCAACUUGAGAGUGGUGUUCUAGGUCCUUGGGAGUCUGGUCCACCUCCCCAUCUUAAACUGACUCCAAGGAUGAGAGGCAGAAUCCUGUCUGUCCACUGUGGAGCACAUCGGCCUCUUUGGAUUCUCAUGACAGCCACAACAUACGGGAGCUCAUCCAGGAUAAUAAGAAAGGAGAGAUCUGGGCUGGAGUUAGAGCCCUGUUUGUGGGUGUGAUGUUGGAACCAUUUCUGUCAGUUCCACUGGAUUUGGAAUCACCUAGGAGAUACAGUCCUGUGUGUAUCUGUGAGGAAGUCUCCAGAGAAGUUUAAUUGAGGUAAGGGAUCUGCCCUGGAUAUGGUGACACCACCCCAUGGGCUGGGAUCCUGGACUGACUAAAAAGUGGAAAGAUAGGAAGCUAGUUGAGCACCAGAUAUUCAACUCUUCUGCUUCCUGGUUAUGGACUCAAUGUAGCCAGCCCCUAUCACCAACUGUUUCCUGGGCUGUGACGGGCUGAAUCCCUCCAAACUGUGACCCAUGACGAACCCUUCCUUCCUUAAGUUGCUUUGGUCAAGUGGCUUGUCCUGGCGAUGAGAAAGGCAGCCAACACAGUGGGCGCCUGCCUCAGCAAGUGCUCUGGCUAGCAGAAGGAAAGCAGAGGAGACAUUGUGCUAAAAAGUAAUAGUGGAGUCAGGAAGGAAAGAGAAGAUGGAAGAGACAAGGCAAUGUGGAAGUGAAGCCCCUUGGCGGGCUCCUUAUCCAAUUUUUACAUGACCAGCAGCCCACAAGCCUGAAAGGAAACGGAGUAGAGAGGACAUGCCUGGGCAUACCUGUGCUUAUGAUGGUCAAGAAGGGGGAAGAGUGAGUCCUCUAGGCUUCUUCAGCUGUGCUGAGUCUACUGAGCAUGGGUUCCACUGAGCCCCUCCCCUCCAAACCCUAGGCAAACAAACAUCCAGUACCCAUUUUCUACCUACAACUUCCCACCAUUGCAUCCAGUGUCUUGCUCUUCCCAAAGGGUAUUUUUCAGGCUAGACUACGUGCUAGACUAUGCACGUAUACACACACACACACACACACACACACACACACACACACACACACACACAGAGGGGUUCGGGGCAGGGGAGGCUGCUAGGGAAGAUCAGUGAUCCCCUGGCUAGCAGACACUGAAUGACCAAAAACCAAGUUGAAAUGACCCGAACGCUCUGAGCAAACUACAGUAGACAUGGGAACCCCACUCACACAAACACACACUUCUUUUUUUUUUUUCCUGGUGUUCUAACACAACAAAUCUUAAAUAUAUUUCAUGUAUUGCAAUAGCUAGACACUGUUUCCCAGAGUGAAAUUAAACACAGCAUUGUAUUUGGAAAAGGCCGCCUGGCUCAAUUUCCCUCCCAGCACUGCCAGACAGCCCUGCCACUUGGCAGGUGGAGAGAUGGGCUGGACUUGCGACUUUCUUCCAUGCCCCUAAGGUCUACCAGCCUCCUCUGCCCAGGUAAGCACUCUGGGCACCAUAAGAAGAGGUCUGUCCAUAACACUGCACGGUCUUCAAAGGGAAAUCCCGUUCUCUCCCCACCCCAGACAAUCCAGAGCAUAGUCCUAUACUACCGGCAAUCCACUGCCUAAGAGAGAGGAGGGGUUUGCAAUGGAGCUGCUUUCUGUGGGGGUAAGGACACUGUGUAGGAUACAGUUGCAUCUUUUGGGACGUCACUGAUGAUCCAGCACAGGAAAGCAGCUGGGGAAACUCUCUGCCAGUGUUUACUGCACAUUCCCAAAGGGCACCUCAAGAAAUGGAAGGCAGUAGAGAAGCAGGGGGGGCAGGGCAGGCUGGUGACGGGGAACCUGAGUUCCUAACAUCUAAUGUAGAUACAGAAAUCAAGACCCAAAAAAUCAGCUUGCACACUCUAACCCUAAUGCAGCAGUCUGCAAGAAAAAAGUGCAAAAGCGAAGUGAGUCCAAGCAAAAACCUAGCUUCCAAGAGCCAGAAAAACCAAGAUCUGAAGGGUGUGCUUCAACAUACACAUAAAAAGAGCAUGUCUAAAUACUAGAGGGAUUUAAAAAAAAAUUUAUUCAAAAUUUUCUCUAAAAUCUUAAAAUAAGAUCACUCUUAAUAAUCUGAAAUUAAUAUUAAUUGUAUUAAGAUGCACAUGACAUAAAAGCCACCAGCUUACCCAUUCAUUCUUAAGUAUUAUACAUUUCAUGUUGCUGUCUGCCCUCAUCACCAUCUACUGCUGAGUACCCUGAAGGAGAAAUCCUGCACAUCAACUCCACAUCCCCUCACCGUAGUCUCUGGCAGCCUCCAUUCAACUUUGUGUCGCCAGGACUGUGCCUCUUCUGGGAAUUCAUGUAAAUGAAGUCAUUUCUCCUUUUGUGA